rnacentral:snRNA from 1 species
GGAUGUGAGGGCGAUCUGGCUGCGACAUCUGUCACCCCAUUGAUCACCAGAGUUGAUUUGGCUGAUCUGACUGGCUAGGCGGGGGUCCCCUUCCUCCCUCACUGCUCAGUGUGCAUCCCUCCUGAAGCUGUGCACUCGGUAGAAGAGGACGACCACCCCCAAUAGAGGAGGACCGUUUCCUCGGUCAAGGGUAUACGAGUAGCUGUGCUCCCCUGCUAGAACCUCCAAACAAGCUCUCAAGAGUAGCAUGUGUACUAGACAAAACUGCUACUAAAAUAUGAAAAGAAUGAAUGUUU